AGGCUGAUGAAGAUUAGAUAUUAAUGGUUACUGAAAUUUCAAUAAGUGUGUUGAUAUACUAUCUUCUUGACUAGGACUGCUGAGGCU